rnacentral:rRNA from 1 species
AGCGAACGCUGGCGGCAGGCCUAACACAUGCAAGUCGAACGAACCUUUCGGGGUUAGUGGCGGACGGGUGAGUAACACGUGGGAACGUGCCUUUAGGUUCGGAAUAACUCAGGGAAACUUGUGCUAAUACCGAAUGUGCCCUUCGGGGGAAAGAUUUAUCGCCUUUAGAGCGGCCCGCGUCUGAUUAGCUAGUUGGUUGAGGUAAUGGCUCACCAAGGCGACGAUCAGUAGCUGGUCUGAGAGGAUGAUCAGCCACAUUGGGACUGAGACACGGCCCAAACUCCUACGGGAGGCAGCAGUGGGGUAUCUUGCGCAAUGGGCGAAAGCCUGACGCAGCCAUGCCGCGUGAAUGAUGAAGGUCUUAGGAUUGUAAAAUUCUUUCACCGGGGACGAUAAUGACGGUACCCGGAGAAGAAGCCCCGGCUAACUUCGUG